AUAAAAAUGACAAGUAAUUAUUUACAAAUAAUUUGUGUUUAAUUAAAUGAGGGUAAUUUGGGUAGUUAUUGGCAUAAGUUACAUUAUUACCUUAAAACGACAACUAAUUUAAAACAAAAAAAAUGCUCUAAAACGACAACUAUUCGAAAACGGAGGGAGUACUAUUUAUUAUAAAAUUGGUGUGGUCUAAUGGUAACAUGUGGGGUUGAAUACAAUCUGAACCUGAGAGAGUCUCUUCGGAAGUAAUAUUUUUUUUCAUUUUCGGUUCACGGUUUUCUGUUAACCGGAUUGAAUCGGAAUUCAAACUGGUGAUCUUCUUCGUCGCCAUUAACGUCAACAAAUCGAGCAACCGUCGCUGCAACUUCUGACCAUGCUUCUUCUCCUCCGCCGAUUCAACCGCUGCGGCAACCAUCGUUCUCUUUGAUUCACACCUGAACCAAUCCAUGGAUCACUGCAACUUUCGAUUCUCAUCUCAUACAAAGUUAUAGACGAAGAAGAAGACUAAAGCGGCGAAGAAGGCUGAGACGGCGCUAGGAUUUAAUGUGAAGGGGUUAGGGUUUAAAAAAAAAAAAAAAAAAACAAUUUCAUUUUCUUGGUCGAACUUGGGUUUAAAAGGCAGUUCAUUCCUUAUUGUUACCACUAUACCACGACAAUCCAUUCGUG
rnacentral:lncRNA from 1 species